AAAAACAACCAUGCAUGCACCCAGACAAGGCAGGAGUCUUGCAAGAACCUUGAGUGCCUGGAGAGGCAGGGAUUGGAGCCCCUGGCCCAGCUCCCUCGGUCAUGGUCAUGAGUGGAGGGUCUGGGAACCGCCCCAGUCUGGCUGAGCCCCUGCCAAUGCAGGUAAAAACACAGGGGUCUGUGGGGGUGGGGGACAGGAAGGACACUGCAAGCUGUAGAUCACUUUAAGCCUUUUGGACAAGAGUGCUAUCCUGGGCUUCUGCAUCUCUCGAACCUUCUGCUGGCUCUCCUUCAUACUUCAUAAAAAUUCUUUAAAGCCAGCUAUAACCACCACAAGAAAAAGCAACCCAAACAAAUGCUAAAAACGGCAGCCAGUGGCUCUCUGAGCCUCUCCACCUAUUUUUAUUUUGCUUGCACGGAGCUCCAUGCUAUAAAUAUGCUCAUGGCAUCCGCACAGGAACUCAAAUGCCAGCACAGCCGACGAAGCUGACUAACCACAAAAAUGCCAACUCACCAGACUGAGGAGAAAGAGCUGCUCUGAGCGAAAAUCAGUCAUUGCGGAAGAUGAGGCACAAAAGGAUUUGAAACCACAAUAAAAAUGAGCCUUAACCAGUUAUGAAGCAGUUGACAAGCAAACAAUGAGGCAUUCAACCAAGCCAACACCAUUCCCGAGCUCCAGUCUAGACUAAGUGGCACAGAAACGACUGACCAAGCGCUAAGGCAAGUGCAUGAGGAACUGAGAUGCCAGGUGGACUGUGCUGGAGUAAAGCCUCUCAGGAUUCCUGACACACGGUUGUAACCCAGACUUCCUGCUCACAACCAAACUCGUCGCUGCAGGGACCCUGGGAGGCAGUGGGAUACAUCACACAAGAAUGUUCCACAAGAAAAGGCACGGCAGCUGAUUUUGCUCUAGAAGAAGGAAAACAGUUUUCACGGACUCUAGUAAAUGUCCUACGGUGAAGACAGGAGACCUCCCCACGGGACUGGUCUGGUUCGAAGGCCUGCAUCCACCACAAGGGGAGAGGACGCUGGGAAAAAUUGCCUGUCGUUGAGGCCAGAGAAGCAAGGAGCUUAACCACCGCAGGCCUCCACGUCAGGGGAAAACCACGGCAUCCGGCUGAUUGGCAUGAUCGCCAACCGCAUCCCCUUCUGGGUCACUUAAAAAGGAUUGCUCACCGUGAAGCUACUCCGGUGUACUCCGGGGGAGGGCUGCAAAUCACGGUCUCACCCACACGGUCACCCCCCACUCCUCUUCAGCCCCUGGAGCAUCCUGGCAGGACAACACCGCUCCACGGGUGAAAUCCCUGAUCACAGUCCUCCUGAGAGAGGAGCUUCCUUUCUGCUCCAGACGGACACCCUCCUGUCUCUCAACCCCCUAGGGACAGGAUUCUUGUGGGUAACUCCCAUAUCUACAUCACUGCACCGGAUUUCUUUCCCAAGCCUGAGACCUGCGUUUCCAACUGCCGGAAGGACUUCAUUACUGACCCCUCAAAGCUGAUGUGACCCAGAGCAAACUCAGCUUCCCUCCAUUAUAUUUGCUUCUUCCUUUCUUCUUACGGCUUCCUAAUUUUGUGAGCAUCCUCCCAGGCCUCUUGCCCAGACCCCAGCUCCCUGCAGGCUGAUGUUGCACGGGGCACAGUCUACCGAGGUGCAUCGUGCUAGAGAAUCCAGG